AUGGGCUUCUGGAACGGCAAGGGCAAGCACGACCGCGAGGCCGGCUCCUCCUCGGGGCGCCGCCGCGGAUCCGUGAAGAAGGAGGAGCCCGCGUCUCCGCCGCGCUCCUCCCGUCGAGCCCCCGCGUCACCGCCGCGCUCCUCCCGUCGAGCCCCCGCGCCGGCCCCCUUCACCAUUGCCCAUAGGCCCUCCGGCGAGCGCGACCGGCAGUACAUCUGCGCGGACGUGUGCCGGAGGUACUGGGAGAUGAGGAUGCCGGUCCGGUGGAGCGACGCCCACCUCCCCAACGGGUGGCACCUCUUCGCGGACCGGGUCCCCAUCCCGCCAGUGCUGGCGACCGGCCGUGCACGGCGCGAUGAGAUCAACCGCCGCCGCCGCCUCCUCCCCGACGACCUGUACUACGACCUCGGGUAUGCCCCCGACUCCCCGCUCUGGGGCACAUGGCUCCAGGACGAGCACGACACGCGCCGCGCGUCCUAUUUCGCCGGCACCGUGUCGGGGCCGCGGAGGCCACGUGCAGAGCCGCGCGGGCGUACGCGGGUGCGCGGCCUGACGCCCACGCCGUCGCCUUCCCCGUCUCCGUCGCCCCCUCCCCCUCCUCGCAUGAUAGAGGAGGAGGAGGCCCGUCUCCUACAGCGUGUCAUGGCGGACUCCAUGAACACGCACGACGAGCGGCAGUGGGACGGCCUGGAGGAGGCCAUGGCCCUCUCUGCCGCCGGGGACGUCGCCUUCCCGGAGCUGCAGCUGGCGGCCGUCACGGCGGCCGUCACGGAGGAGCCGAUGGAGGAGGACCCGCCCGCGUUCGAGCAGCUCCUGGGCCAGGGGUGGGGCUGGUCCUGCACUGCGCUGGAGAUGGCCGCCGACCUGGGCGUGAACUGGUGCCCCACUCCGCCGCGGUCACCUGAGCGGGAGGCGUCACCGCGGGAGGAGGUGGUGCAGGCACCUCCGGCCGUCCAGCCCGGCCCCGUCUACCACGCACCGCCGCCCCACCUCUGGACGCCGCCUGAGUACGUCGACCUCGUCAGCGACGACGACACCGGCGGCCAGUGA
rnacentral:rRNA from 1 species